AUUUUAACGGAGAGUUUGAUCCUGGCUCAGGAUGAAUGCUGGCGGCGUGCCUAACACAUGCAAGUCGAGCGGCAGCGAGUUUUACACUGAAUUCUGGAAGCUUCUGGGUAAUGUAGAAGAUUUAUUCAAGAAUUUUGUGUAAAAUGUCGGCGAGCGGCGGACGGCUGAGUAACGCGUAGGAAUUUGCCCCAAAGUGAGGAAUAACUGCCCGAAAG
rnacentral:rRNA from 1 species